GCCCCUCUCGGAGGCUUUAAAGCCUCCCCGUGGCCGCCAGGGGGCGCCGCGGCGGCGGCUCGGCGGGACCCGCGGGGGGUUCGUCCCGGGAGGCCGCGGGGCCGUUCCCUCCGGAGCUCCGAGCCCGGCUUGCUGGGUCCCGGCCCGGGCAGCGGCCCCCGGGCAGCACUGCUUCCCGCGGCGGUUCCUGAAGCCCUUCUUUGCCGGGGGGGCCCUGCGUCGCUCCCUGAAGCCCUUCUUUGCCGGGGGGGCCUCGCGUCACUCCCCCAGGAUGGACCGUGAGGAUGGACCCGCGGGACUCGGCGGCUCUGAGGCGGAGAGGGACAGACAAAGGAGCUGCAGCCGUGCCGGAACCUGCAGAGCCCCAGGGAAGACGCUGGAUGAAGCCCACCCGGCCUGAACCAACCUAGAGGCGCUAAAUCGCUCCUGCUCGUUUGUUUGGGCCCCUUUUGUGUCCAGCACCGUGUCUAGGCUCCAUUUUGUUGCAGUUCAUGGAUUGCUGUGGUUCCAGCUUGUUUCCAGCUUCAGGGUCCAGCUCAUGGAUGGUCCUGUUCAUUUGCAGCUCCAGCUCAUGGACGGCUCUGGCUCAUUUCAGCUCCUCUUUGCUGUGGCUCCAGCUCGUUUGCAGUUCCAGGUCAUUUAUGGCUCCAGCUCACUGUUUCUGCACCCGUUUAUGAGGUCCCAGCUCCUGGAUGGCUCCAGCUCAGCUUGCUGCUUCCAGUCAUUGGCAGCUGAUUCCCAGUUCCAGUUUGAAGCUCCAUCUCCAGUUCAUUGAUGGCUCCAGCCCCUCACAGCUUGUGCUGGUUCUGUUCAUCUUGGCUUUGGCCCAAGUCGUAAAUCAAUCACUGUCACCACUCAUAUAUGAAUAUGAGCUGUCAUAAUUGUACACACACACAAUGACUAAUAAAGUGUUUAUUAAACAAUAACCAU